UCGAGAAUUUUUCACAAUGGGCGAAAGCCUGAUGGAGCGACGCCGCGUGGGGGAUGAAUGGCUUCGGCCCGUAAACCCCUGUCAUUUGUGACCAAGCCUGCCUGGUGAAUAGCCAGUCAGUUUGAUGGUAGCGGAAGAGGAAGGGACGGCUAACUCUGUGCCAGCAGCCGCGGUAAUACAGAGGUCCCAAGCGUUGUUCGGAUUCACUGGGCGUAAAGGGUGCGGAGGUGGUGAGGUAAGUCUAAUGUGAAAUCCCGGGGCGCAACUCCGGAACUGCAUCGGAAACUAUCUCGCUAGAGGGUUGUAGGGGGGACUGGAAUUCUCGGUGUAGCAGUGAAAUGCGUAGAUAUCGAGAGGAACACCAGUGGCGAAGGCGAGUCCCUGGACAACACCUGACACUGAGGCACGAAAGCUAGGGGAGCAAACA
rnacentral:rRNA from 1 species